rnacentral:rRNA from 1 species
UUUAAUUAGAGUUUGAUCCUAGCUCAGGAUGAACGCUGGCGGCGUGGAUAAGGCAUGCAAGUCGAACGAACUAGUCCCUGGAAGUAUUUGAGUGAGUAGCAAUACAAACAAUUAUAUGGAAAGGGUUCACUAGUUAGUGGCGAACGAGGUAGUAACACGUGGGUACGUCCCCCAAAGUCGUGAACAACACACCGAAAGGUGUGCUAAUACACGAUGGUCCCUCCGGGGUAAAGUUUUAACGCUUUGGGAACGGCCUGCGGGAUAUCAGCUAGUUGGUAGUGUAAUGGACUACCAAGGCUAUGACGUCUAGGGGAGCUGAGAGGCUGACCCCCACCGAUGGGACUGAGACACGGCCCAUACUCCUACGGGAGGCUGCAGUCGAGAAUCUUCCACAAUGGACGAAAGUCUGAUGGAGCGACGCCGCGUGAUUGAUGAAGUCCCUCUGGGACGUAAAGAUCUUUUAUGAGGGAAAAAGUUUAUUGAUUGUACCUCAUGAAUAAGGGGCUCCUAAUCUCGUGCCAGCAGGAGCGGUAAUACGAGAGCCCCAAGCGUUAUCCGGAAUUAUUGGGCGUAAAGGGUGUGUAGGUGGUUGUAUUAGUCUUUCGUUAAAACUCCCGGCUUAACUGGGAAUCUGCGAAGGAAACGGUACGACUAGAGAAUACGAGGGGUGCAUGGAACUCAAGGUGUAGGGGUGAAAUCCGUUGAUAUCUUGGGGAACACCAAAAGCGAAGGCAAUGCACUGGCGUACUUCUGACACUCAAGCACGAAAGCGUGGGUAGCGAAUGGGAUUAGAUACCCCAGUAGUCCACGCCCUAAACGAUCUUUUCUCGCUAUUCGGAGUAUCGACCCUCUGAGUGGCUAAGCUAACGCGUUAAGAAAAGCGCCUGGGAAGUACGGCCGCAAGGCUAAAACUCAAAGGAAUAGACGGGGACUCGCACAAGCAGUGGAUUAUGUGGUUUAAUUCGAUGGUAAACGAAGAACCUCACCAGGGUUUGACACCUACGUGAAAGCUCUAAGAAACUAGAGCCCUCGCAAGACUAGUAGGCAGGUGUUGCAUGGCCGUCGUCAGUUCGUGGUUUGAAUUGUUCCCUUAAGUGGGGUAACGAACGCAACCCUCGUCGUGUGUUAUAUUUGUCACACGAGACCGCCCAGAACUUUGUUCAUGAAAAUAUUUCGUGCAUAAAGUUCUGGGAGGAAGGAGAGGAUGACGCCAGGUCAGCAUGACCCUUUGAUAUCCUGGGCUACACACAUAAUACAAUGACGGCUACAACGCGUCGCGACGGGGUAACCCUGAGCCAAUCGUUAUAAAAGCCGCCUCAGUUCGGAUAGAGGUCUGCAACUCGACCUCUUGAAGUUGGAAUUGCUAGUAAUCGCAGGUCAGACAUACUGCGGUGAAUACGUUCUCGAGUCUUGUACUCACCGCCCGUCAAGUCAAGGGAGCUGGUGGUACCCGAAAUCUCUCCAUUGGAGGGCCUAAGGUAAAAUCAGUGACAGGGACUAAGUCGUAACAAGGCACGGCUAGCGGAAGCUGGUCGUGGAAUAAUUCAAUU